CCUCUAGAAGGAAGCACUUUCU
rnacentral:miRNA from 8 species